rnacentral:rRNA from 1 species
GGAUGAAUAUUGGUCAAUGGACGCAAGUCUGAACCAGCCAUGCCGCGUGCAGGAAGAAGGUGCUAUGCAUUGUAAACUGCUUUUAUACGGGGUAGGUUAUCAGAUACGUGUAUCUGGUUGAAAGUACCGUAUGAAUAAGGAUCGGCUAACUCCGUGCCAGCAGCCGCGGUAAUACGGAGGAUCCGAGCGUUAUCCGGAUUUAUUGGGUUUAAAGGGUGCGUAGGCGGUCAGGUAAGUUAGAGGUGAAAGCUCGAUGCUCAACAUCGAAACUGCCUCUGAUACUGUCUGACUAGAGUGUAGUUGCGGAAGGCGGAAUGUGUGGUGUAGCGGUGAAAUGCUUAGAUAUCACACAGAACACCGAUUGCGAAGGCAGCUUUCCAAGCUAUUACUGACGCUGAGGCACGAAAGCGUGGGGAGCGAACAGGAUUAGAUACC